rnacentral:rRNA from 1 species
GGCGGCGAUGAGUAGCCGGCCUGAGAGGGUGAUCGGCCACACUGGGACUGAGACACGGCCCAGACUCCUACGGGAGGCAGCAGCUAAGAAUCUUCCGCAAUGGGGGCAACCCUGACGGAGCGACGCCGCGUGGACGAAGAAGGCCGGGAGGUUGUAAAGUCCUUUUCCUGGGGGAGAAUAAUGAGUGGAGGGAAUGCCAUUCAGAUGACGUGAACCAGGGAAUAAGCCCCGGCUAAUUACGUGCCAGCAGCCGCGGUAACACGUAAGGGGCGAGCGUUGUUCGGAUUUAUUGGGCGUAAAGGGCGUGUAGGCGGUAAGGUAAGUCUGGUGUGAAAUGCCCCGGCUCAACCGGGAGAGCGCGCUGGAAACUGUCUUACUUGAGUGAUGGAGGGGGAGCUGGAAUUCCUGGUGUAGGGGUGAAAUCUGUAGAGAUCAGGAAGAACACCGGAGGCGAAGGCGAGCUCCUGGCCAUUUACUGACGCUGAGGCGCGAAAGCGUGGGGAGCGAACAGGAUUAGAUACCCUGGUAGUCCACGCUGUAAACGAUGUGCACUGGGUGUUGGACCUGAGAGGUUCAGUGCCGUAGCAAACGCGUUAAGUGCACCGCCUGGGGAGUAUGCUCGCAAGGGUGAAACUCAAAGGAAUUGACGGGGGCCCGCACAAGCGGUGGAGCAUGUGGUUUAAUUCGACGAUACGCGAGGAACCUUACCAGGGCUUGACAUAGACACGACGGUUGUAGAGAUACAGCUUCUCUUCGGAGCGUGUUUACAGGUGCUGCAUGGCUGUCGUCAGCUCGUGCUGUGAAGUGUUGGGUUAAGUCCCGCAACGAGCGCAACCCUUGCUGUCUGUUGCCAACAGGUUAUGCUGGGGACUCGGACGGUACUGCCGGUGACAAACCGGAGGAAGGUGGGGACGACGUCAAGUCAUCAUGGCCCUUAUGUCCUGGGCUACACACGUGCUACAAUGGCCGGUACAGAGCGAAGCGAAACCGCGAGGUAGAGCAAAUCGCAGAAAGCCGGUCUUAAGUUCGGAUUGAAGUCUGAAACCCGACUUCAUGAAGGUGGAAUCGCUAGUAAUCGCGCAUCAGCAUGGCGCGGUGAAUAUGUUCCCGGGCCUUGUACACACCGCCCGUCACACCACCCGAGUUGGGGGUACCCGAAGUCGCUCGUCUAACCGGUAACGGAGGACGGUGCCGAAGGUAUGCCUGGUAAGGGGGGUGAAGUCGUAACAAGGUA